rnacentral:rRNA from 1 species
GAGCCUUUGAUCCUGGCUCAGGACGAACGCUGGCGGCGUGCUUAACACAUGCAAGUCGAGCGAUGAAAUCCCUUCGGGGAUGGAUUAGCGGCGGACGGGUGAGUAACACGUGGGCAACCUGCCUCAAAGUGGGGGAUAGCCUUCCGAAAGGGAGAUUAAUACCGCAUAACAUUAGUUUUUCACAUGAAUUACUAAUUAAAGGAGUAAUCCGCUUUGAGAUGGGCCCGCGGCGCAUUAGCUAGUUGGUGAGGUAACGGCUCACCAAGGCCACGAUGCGUAGCCGACCUGAGAGGGUGAUCGGCCACAUUGGAACUGAGACACGGUCCAGACUCCUACGGGAGGCAGCAGUGGGGAAUAUUGCACAAUGGGCGAAAGCCUGAUGCAGCAACGCCGCGUGAGUGAUGAAGGCCUUCGGGUUGUAAAGCUCUGUCUUUGGGGACGAUAAUGACGGUACCCAAGGAGGAAGCCACGGCUAACUACGUGCCAGCAGCCGCGGUAAUACGUAGGUGGCGAGCGUUGUCCGGAUUUACUGGGCGUAAAGGAUGCGUAGGCGGAUGUUUAAGUCAGA